CCUACGGGAGGCAGCAGUGAGGAAUAUUGGUCAAUGGCCGGAAGGCUGAACCAGCCAUGCCGCGUGAAGGUCAGUGCCCUAUGGGCGUUAAACUUCUUUUGUGCGGGAGCAAUAAUGGUCACGUGUGGCCAGACGAGAGUACCGUACGAAUAAGCAUCGGCUAACUCCGUGCCAGCAGCCGCGGUAAUACGGGGGAUGCAAGCGUUAUCCGGAUUUAUUGGGUUUAAAGGGUGCGUAGGCUGUGAGGUAAGUCAGCGGUGAAAUGCCCCCGCUCAACGGGGUGAAGUGCCAUUGAUACUGCCUGGCUGGAAGGCGGAUGCCGUGGGAGGAAUGUGUGGUGUAGCGGUGAAAUGCAUAGAUAUCACACAGAACACGGAUUGCGAAGGCAUCUCACGAAUCCGCGAUUGACGCUGAUGCACGAAAGCGUGGGUAUCAAACAGGAUUAGAUACCCGGGUAGUC
rnacentral:rRNA from 1 species